rnacentral:rRNA from 1 species
UAGGGAAUCUUCGGCAAUGGACGGAAGUCUGACCGAGCAACGCCGCGUGAGUGAAGAAGGUUUUCGGAUCGUAAAGCUCUGUUGUAAGAGAAGAACGAGUGUGAGAGUGGAAAGUUCACACUGUGACGGUAUCUUACCAGAAAGGGACGGCUAACUACGUGCCAGCAGCCGCGGUAAUACGUAGGUCCCGAGCGUUGUCCGGAUUUAUUGGGGUUAAAGCGAGCGCAGGCGGUUAGAUAAGUCUGAAGUUAAAGGCUGUGGCUUAACCAUAGUACGCUUUGGAAACUGUUUAACUUGAGUGCAAGAGGGGAGAGUGGAAUUCCAUGUGUAGCGGUGAAAUGCGUAGAUAUAUGGAGGAACACCGGUGGCGAAAGCGGCUCUCUGGCUUGUAACUGACGCUGAGGCUCGAAAGCGUGGGGAGCAAACAAGAUUAGAUACCCUGGUAGUCCACGCCGUAAACGAUGAGUGCUAGGUGUUAGACCCUUUCCGGGGUUUAGUGCCGUAGCUAACGCAUUAAGCACUCCGCCUGGGGAGUACGACCGCAAGGUU